AGCAGCCGCGGUAAUUCCAGCUCCAAUAGCGUAUAUUAAAGUUGUUGCAGUUAAAAAGCUCGUAGUUGAAUUUCGGGAUCAUCAGGUUGGUUGUGCCUCUGGUAUGUACUUUCCUCGAUGGUUCCUCCUUCUUGAAGAACCGUAAUGCCAUUAAUUUGGUGUUGCGGGGAAACAGGACUGUUACUUUGAAAAAAUUAGAGUGUUUAAAGCAGGCAAUCGCUUGAAUACAUUAGCAUGGAAUAAUGAAAUAGGACGUUCGAUCCUAUUUUGUUGGUUUCUAGGAUUGACGUAAUGAUUAAUAGGGAUAGUUGGGGGCAUUAGUAUUCAAUUGUCAGAGGUGAAAUUCUUGGAUUUAU
rnacentral:rRNA from 1 species